AUCCAGCUGUUGAGUCCCAAAUAGGACGAAACGCGCGUCCUGGAU
rfam:Schistosoma rodhaini strain Burundi genome assembly, scaffold: SROB_scaffold0003887